rnacentral:lncRNA from 1 species
AAAGAGAGGAUUAAGGGCACAGAAAGGAGAGAAGGGCCUCCGUCGUUGCUCUGGGACCUCGUUGCUGACCCUGGAUGACAGACCACUGCCUAGGAUGAAAUUCCCCUCUGGAUGGAUGGCUUCUGGUUUGGUGAUGGAAUGGAUUCCAGGGCCUCUGAGGAAGGCAGGAAGCCUUGGGACUUGGCAAUCUCCACAGGAGAUGGGGUGUGUGCUAGGUGAGGCCCCCAUCACCAGGAGCAAGGCCUGGUCCACCCUGAGACCCAGCGCCCACUUACUGUCCAUGCCUUCACCUUGCUAAGUUAGUGUGUGGUCCACUUGCUAAGA